rnacentral:rRNA from 1 species
GGAUGAACGCUAGCGACAGGCUUAACACAUGCAAGUCGAGGGGCAGCAUGGUCAGUAGCAAUACCGACUGAUGGCGACCGGCGCACGGGUGAGUAACGCGUAUGCAACCUGCCCUGUACAGGGGGAUAGCCCAUGGAAACGUGGAUUAAUAUCCCAUAGUAAUCAYGAUAGGCAUCUAUUUUGAUUUAAAUCUUCDGAGGUACAGGAUGGGCAUGCGUCCUAUUAGAUAGUUGGCGGGGUAACGGCCCACCAAGUCCUUGAUAGGUAGGGGUUCUGAGAGGAAGGUCCCCCACACUGGUACUGAGACACGGACCAGACUCCUACGGGAGGCAGCAGUGAGGAAUAUUGGUCAAUGGGCGAUAGCCUGAACCAGCCAAGUCGCGUGAGGGAAGACUGCCCUAUGGGUUGUAAACCUCUUUUGUAAGUGGAGAAUAAGCGUUACGUGUAGCGCGAUGACUGUAACUUACGAAUAAGCAUCGGCUAACUCCGU